AGAGCGAACGCUGGCGGCAGGCUUAACACAUGCAAGUCGAGCGGGCGUAGCAAUACGUCAGCGGCAGACGGGUGAGUAACGCGUGGGAACAUACCUUUUGGUUCGGAACAACACAGGGAAACUUGUGCUAAUACCGGAUAAGCCCUUACGGGGAAAGAUUUAUCGCCGAAAGAUUGGCCCGCGUCUGAUUAGCUAGUUGGCGAGGUAACGGCUCACCAAGGCGACGAUCAGUAGCUGGUCUGAGAGGAUGAUCAGCCACAUUGGGACUGAGACACGGCCCAAAACUCCUACGGGAGGCAGCAGUGGGGAAUAUUGGACAAUGGGCGCAAGCCUGAUCCAGCCAUGCCGCGUGAGUGAUGAAGGCCCUAGGGUUGUAAAGCUCUUUUGUGCGGGAAGAUAAUGACGGUACCGCAAGAAUAAGCCCCGGCUAACUUCGCGCCAGCAGCCGC
rnacentral:rRNA from 1 species